UCUGCCCGCUGGCUACAGGCUUAACACAUGCAAGUCGAGGGGAAACGACGGGGAAGCUUGCUUCCCCGGGCGUCGACCGGCGCACGGGUGAGUAACGCGUAUCCAACCUGCCUCUGACUGAGGGAUAACCCGUCGAAAGUCGGCCUAAUACCUCAUGGUAUCGUCUGCGGGCAUCCAACGACGAUUAAAGAUUUCAUCGGUCAGGGAUGGGGAUGCGUCUGAUUAGCUUGUUGGCGGGGUAACGGCCCACCAAGGCUACGAUCAGUAGGGGUUCUGAGAGGAAGGUCCCCCACAUUGGAACUGAGACACGGUCCAAACUCCUACGGGAGGCAGCAGUGAGGAAUAUUGGUCAAUGGGCGAGAGCCUGAACCAGCCAAGUAGCGUGCAGGAAGACGGCCCUAUGGGUUGUAAACUGCUUUUAUGCGGGGAUAAAGUGAGGGACGUGUCCCUCAUUGCAGGUACCGCAUGAAUAAGGACCGGCUAAUUCCGUG
rnacentral:rRNA from 1 species